rnacentral:rRNA from 2 species
GAAGCGGCAACAGCUCAGAUUUGAAAUCUGGCGUCUUCGGCGUCCGAGUUGUAAUCUGUAGAGGAUGCCUUUGGGUAGCCACCGGUCUAAGUCCCCUGGAACGGGGUGUCACAGAGGGUGAGAAUCCCGUAUGUGACCGGAAGGGCGCCCUAUACAUGGCUCCUUCGACGAGUCGAGUUGUUUGGGAAUGCAGCUCUAAAUGGGAGGUAAAUUCCUUCUAAAGCUAAAUACCGGCCAGAGACCGAUAGCGCACAAGUAGAGUGAUCGAAAGAUGAAAAGCACUUUGGAAAGAGAGUUAAAAAGCACGUGAAAUUGUUGAAAGGGAAGCGCUUGCAACCAGACUUGUUGGCGGUGUUCCGCCGGUCUUCUGACCGGUCUACUCACCGUCUGCAGGCCAGCAUCAUCUGGGACCGCUGGAUAAAAGCGGAGGGAAUGUGGCUCCUCCGGGAGUGUUAUAGCCCUCUGUGUAAUACAGCGAGUCCCGGGUGAGGUCCGCGCUUCGGCUAGGAUGCUGGCGUAAUGGUCGUAAGCGGCCCGUCUUGAAACACGGACCAAGGAGUCUAACAUCUAUGCGAGUGUUCGGGUGUCAAACCCCUACGCGUAAUGAAAGUGAACGGAGGUGGGAACCUUUUAGGUGCACCAUCGACCGAUCCUGAUGUCUUCGGAUGGAUUUGAGUAAGAGCAUAGCUGUUGGGACCCGAAAGAUGGUGAACUAUGCCUGGAUAGGGUGAAGCCAGAGGAAACUCUGGUGGA